rnacentral:rRNA from 1 species
UCGGGAAUUUUGGGCAAUGGGCGAAAGCCUGACCCAGCAACGCCGCGUGAAGGAUGAAGUCCCUCGGGAUGUAAACUCCGUAAGAAUAGGAAGAAUAAAUGACGGUACUAUUUGUAAGGUCCGGCUAACUACGUGCCAGCAGCCGCGGUAAUACGUAGGGACCAAGCGUUGUUCGGAUUUACUGGGCGUAAAGGGCGCGUAGGCGGCAAUUCAAGUCAUCUGUGAAAUCUCCGGGCUUAACUCGGAACGGUCAGAUGAUACUGCUUUGCUAGAGUGCAGAAGGGGCAAUCGGAAUUCUUGGUGUAGCGGUGAAAUGCGUAGAUAUCAAGAGGAACACCUGAGGUGAAGACGGGUUGCUGGGCUGACACUGACGCUGAGGCGCGAAAGCCAGGGGAGCAAACGGGAUUAGAUACCCAAGUAGUCCCUGAGCGGGCUGGCAAGGCGCAU